rnacentral:rRNA from 1 species
GACGAACGCUGGCGGCGUGCUUAACACAUGCGAGUCGAACGGAAAGGCCCUGCUUUUGUUGGGUUCUCGAUUGGCGAACGGGUGAGUAACACGUGAGUAACCUGCCCUUGACUUUGUGAUAACUUCAGGAAACUGGGGCUAAUACCGGAUAGGAUCUCCUGCUGCGUGUGGUUGGUUGGAAAGUUUCGGCGGUGGGGGCUGUACUCGCGGCUUAUCAGCUUGUUUGUGGGGUAGUGGCUUACCAAGGCUUUGACGGGUAGCCGGCAUGAGAGGGUGAACGGCCACCAUGGGACUGCGAUACGGCCCAGAAUCCUACGGGCGGCAGCAGGGGGGAAUAUUGCAGAAUGGGCGGAAGUCUGAUGCAGCAACGCCGCGUGCGGGAUGACGGCCUUCGGGUUGUAAACCGCUUUCGCCUGUGACGAAGCGUGAGUGACGGUAAUGGGUAAAGAAGCAACGGCUAACUACGUG